rnacentral:rRNA from 1 species
CUGCGAAUGGCUCAUUAAAUCAGUUAUCGUUUAUUUGAUAGUACCUUACUACUUGGAUACCCGUGGUAAUUCUAGAGCUAAUACAUGCUAAAAACCCCGACUUCGGAAGGGGUGUGUUUAUUAGAUAAAAAACCAAUGCCCUUCGGGGCUGCUUGGUGAUUCAUGAUAACCAAACGAAUCGCAUGGCCUUGAGCCGGCGAUGGUUCAUUCAAAUUUCUGCCCUAUCAACUUUCGAUGGUAGGAUCUGGGCCUACCAUGGUAUCAACGGGUAACGGGGAAUUAGGGUUCGAUUCCGGAGAGGGAGCCUGAGAAACGGCUACCACAUCCAAGGAAGGCAGCAGGCGCGCAAAUUACCCAAUCCCGACACGGGGAGGUAGUGACAAUAAAUACUGAUACAGGGCUCUUUUGGGUCUUGUAAUUGGAAUGAGUACAAUUUAAAUUCCUUAACGAGGAACAAUUGGAGGGCAAGUCUGGUGCCAGCAGCCGCGGUAAUUCCAGCUCCAAUAGCGUAUAUUAAAGUUGUUGCAGUUAAAAAGCUCGUAGUUGAACCUUGGGCCAGGCUGGCCGGUCCGCCUAACCGCGUGUACUGGUCCGGCCGGGCCCUUUCCUCUGGGGAGCCGCAUGCCCUUCACUGGGCGUGUCGGGGAACCAGGACUUUUACUGUGAAAAAAUUAGAGUGUUCAAAGCAGGCCUUUGCUCGGAUACAUUAGCAUGGAAUAAUAGAAUAGGACGUGCGGUCCUAUUUUGUUGGUUUCUAGAACCGCCGUAAUGAUUAAUAGGGACAGUCGGGGGCAUCAGUAUUCAGACGCGAGAGGUGAAAUUCUUAGACCGUCUGAAGACUAACUACUGCGAAAGCAUUUGCCAAGGAUGUUUUCAUUAAUCAGUGAACGAAAGUUGGGGGAUCGAAGACGAUCAGAUACCGUCGUAGUCUCAACCGUAAACUAUGCCGACUAGGGAUCGGGCGACGUUCCAAUUAUGACUCGCCCGGCACCUUACGAGAAAUCAAAGU